rnacentral:rRNA from 1 species
CAGUCGCCGCGGUAAAACGUAGGUGGCAAGCGUUGUCCGGAAUUAUUGGGCGUAAAGGGCUCGCAGGCGGUUUCUUAAGUCUGAUGUGAAAGCCCCCGGCUCAACCGGGGAGGGUCAUUGGAAACUGGGAAACUUGAGUGCAGAAGAGGAGAGUGGAACUCCACGUGUAGCGGUGAAAUGCGUAGAGAUGUGGAGGAACACCAGUGGCGAAGGCGACUCUCUGGUCUGUAACUGACGCUGAGGAGCGAAAGCGUGGGGAGCGAACAGGAUUAGAUACCCCCGUAGUCCCUGUCUCUUAUAC